rnacentral:rRNA from 1 species
CACUAUCAUUAACUGAAUCCAUAGGUUAAUGAGGCGAACCGGGGGAACUGAAACAUCUAAGUACCCCGAGGAAAAGAAAUCAACCGAGAUUCCCCCAGUAGCGGCGAGCGAACGGGGAGGAGCCCAGAGCCUGAAUCAGCAUGUGUGUUAGUGGAAGCGUCUGGAAAGGCGCGCGAUACAGGGUGACAGCCCCGUACACAAAAGCGCAUGUGCUGUGAGCUCGAUGAGUAGGGCGGGACACGUGGUAUCCUGUCUGAAUAUGGGGGGACCAUCCUCCAAGGCUAAAUACUCCUGACUGACCGAUAGUGAACCAGUACCGUGAGGGAAAGGCGAAAAGAACCCCGGCGAGGGGAGUGAAAAAGAACCUGAAACCGUGU